rnacentral:rRNA from 1 species
UACAGAGGGGGCAAGCGUUGUUCGGAAUUACUGGGCGUAAAGGGCGCGUAGGCGGCCUUCUAAGUCGAACGUGAAAUCCCCGGGCUCAACCCGGGAACUGCGUCCGAGACUGGAAGGCUUGAAUCCGGGAGAGGGAUGUGGAAUUCCAGGUGUAGCGGUGAAAUGCGUAGAUAUGUUGUAGAACACCAAUUGCGUAGGCAGCUCACUAAGCUAUUAUUGACGCUGAGGCACGAAAGCGUGGGUAUCGAACAGG